AGAGUUUGAUCAUGGCUCAGAUUGAACGCUGGCGGCAUGCCUUACACAUGCAAGUCGAACGGCAGCACGGGAGCUUGCUCCUGGUGGCGAGUGGCGAACGGGUGAGUAAUGCAUCGGAACGUGCCCUGAAGUGGGGGAUAACGCAGCGAAAGUUGCGCUAAUACCGCAUAUUCUGUGAGCAGGAAAGCAGGGGAUCGCAAGACCUUGCGCUUUAGGAGCGGCCGAUGUCGGAUUAGCUAGUUGGUGGGGUAAAGGCUCACCAAGGCGACGAUCCGUAGCGGGUCUGAGAGGAUGAUCCGCCACACUGGGACUGAGACACGGCCCAGACUCCUACGGGAGGCAGCAGUGGGGAAUUUUGGACAAUGGGCGAAAGCCUGAUCCAGCCAUGCCGCGUGAGUGAAGAAGGCCUUCGGGUUGUAAAGCUCUUUCGGCGGGGAAGAAAUCGCAUUCUCUAAUACAGGAUGUGGAUGACGGUACCCGAAUAAGAAGCACCGGCUAACUACGUGCCAGCAGCCGCGGUAAUACGUAGGGUGCGAGCGUUAAUCGGAAUUACUGGGCGUAAAGCGUGCGCAGGCGGUUUCGUAAGACAGACGUGAAAUCCCCGGGCUCAACCUGGGAACUGCGUUUGUGACUGCGAGGCUAGAGUUUGGCAGAGGGGGUGGAAUUCCACGUGUAGCAGUGAAAUGCGUAGAGAUGUGGAGGACACCGAUGGCGAGCAGCCCCUGGGCCAUACUGACGCUCAUGCACGAAGCGUGGGGAGCAA
rnacentral:rRNA from 1 species